AGGGCCUUUCUGGAUCCCCCGCCGCUUGUGUUGGCAAAGAUGUGGCCAUGUCCUCUCCUGAAGCUGCUGACUCAGGCGUGAGUCACCACCCACCGGCAGCUGAGGGGGAGCAGAGAGAGGGGCGAUGGGCGGGCUGUGUGUGUGCUGUGCUGGGGGUGUGCAGAGGCCCUGAGAGAUGGGUGUGGCCUGACCACCGCCCAGAAGGGCCCUGUGCAGACAGGGAGUACCUCCCAUGGUACUGAAUUCCAGAGCUCUGGGCUUGUCCUGGCCUGCCUGGGGAGGGCCCUGCUGGAGGCCACUUACGUCCCUGUGGACAGUGGGCACUAUGGUCCAGUGGCCCAACCCAGAUCCUGGCUCUGCUGCUUAUAAGCUGCCUGGCUUUGGCUGCUCAGAGCUGGGGCUCCCCACUACCUCCCCGCUCCCCCCCACGCCCCCCCCCCCAAAGUGAGGAUACCCGUGACCUUCCUGCCUAGGACUGGGGGAGGAUUGGAUGAAGUCUUCUGAGCAACUCCCCUGCCGCCUGCAAAAAUGAGCUCCAUGUCCAAGGCCCAGCAGGAGGUUGGGACCUGAGUGGGGGAUCUUGACAUCCCCAACCUACAGAUGAAGAAACUGAGGCUCAUGUGGGGAGCAGCCCAGUCAAGGAGGCCUGAGAGGAACCCCAGGAUGGUGCUGGAUUCUGCAGGUACAAGAAUAUUGAGUCUCAAAGCCAGAGGACUUUGUGCCCAGCAGAGGGAAAGGGACCCCUGCAUCUGCAAAACCAGGAACAGCUUUGCAACAAUUUGUUACCCUGUAUGUGAUCUCUAUGGAAAUUAGCUCUGCCCCUGGAACUCUUGACUUUUACUGUAAAGCCCCCGCCUUCUCUCCCCAGCAGGUCAUGGUCUUAGAGGCAUUAGCCCACUGUGACCUCCUUUGCCUGCAAAGAAAUAAAGCUGCCUUUUCUACUUCA